rnacentral:rRNA from 1 species
UGACGUAGGUGGCAAGCGUUUGUCCGGAAUUAUUGGGCGUAAAGCGCGCGCAGGCGGUCCUUUAAGGUCUGAUGUGAAAGCCCACGGCUCAACCGUGGAGGGUCAUUGGAAACUGGGGGACUUGAGUCAGGAGAGAAGAGUGGAAUUCCACGGUGUAGCGGUGAAAUGCGUAGAGAUGUGGAGGAACACCAGUGGCGAAGGCAGCU